UACCAACAGUCCCAUCAUAGCAAUGGCUUUUUCUAGAAUGGACCUCAAAACUUGUCCAGCCUAUGGCCAUCACCUAGUUCCACAGCUGCUUUCAUGUGUUUAGAUAUUUGUAGCACCCACUUCUCAGUACCAAAAUCUGUCUUAGUCUGCUCAGGCUGCCAUCACAAAAGACCAUAGUGUGGGUGGCUUAAACAACAGAAAUUGUUGACGAAGUCUUGCUCUGUCCCCAGGCUGAAGUGCAGUGGCACGAUCUCAGUUCACUGCAACCUCCGCCUCCUGGG
rnacentral:lncRNA from 1 species